rnacentral:rRNA from 1 species
GACAGAGGUGCCAAGCGUUAGGCGGAAUCACUGGGCUUAAAGCGUGUGUAGGCGGAUCGUUAAGUACCUUGUGAAAUCCCACGGCUCAACCGUGGAACUGCUGGGUAUACUGGCGAUCUUGAGCCACCUAGGGGCGAGCGGAACAAGCGGUGGAGCGGUGAAAUGCGUAGAUAUCGUCUGGAACGCCAAUGGUGAAAACAGCUCGCUGGGGGUUUGCUGACGCUGAGACACGAAAGCCAGGGGAGCGAACGGG